UCACGUUCCCACUGCCCACCACCUCCCCAAAGUGUGCGCUGCCAUCAUCGCCCUCACCAGCACUGAUUGUGGAUGGGGCGGAUGAGGGGUCUUGGGAGACCGUGGCCCACACCGUCGCCUCAUUUGCAGCUGCAGGGGGCCGGUUUGGGAAGCUCGAGGUGUGGGACAGCGAGCUGCGUGCUGAAGACGUGCAGCUUCUGCUGCUGAGACUCCAGGAGCUGCGCGUCAGGACGGGCGGCGAGGGCGACACGCGCGCCGAGACUCACGGGUCGAAUGUUCAUCUGUACAUCACUGAUGACUGCAAACUCAACAGUGAAAGUGUUCAACGCAAAUAAAUGAUCUGAUACUGCAACAGCGGUCAGGAGCGGCGAAGUGAAUUGUUACAACACACGAUCGUCGCAACACGUGAUCGACGCAACAUUCGUUCCAUGAAACACUUCUCCCUUAUACAGAUUAUGAAAUUAUAACUUUCUCCUCUUAGACGCUACUCACAAUACUCACACGUGACAAAUCCUUGAUAAUUAGGACGAACGUUUUCCAUACAAAGGAGCAGAUCUAGCAAACGCAGGAUCAUAGACCAAUUGUGCACCUCCGUCGUUUAGCCCUUGUUGAACGUUCCAUGUUGCCGGAACUAUUGCUGCGUGUCCACAGACAUUAAAUUAAUCCACUACUUAGGACGAUGAAUGUGGCCUUAAUUUACAUGUCAUCACAAUGCGAAAUAAUACUUAUUUUGCAGUGAAUUUGAAAAAGUUUAAAGUUCGUCAAUUUUUUUUAUUUUAUACCGAAGUAUUAUUAGAUAUUUCUUUAGACUAGCAUGAAAUCCUUCUGAAUUGACAAGCCACUUCACUCGCGCCAGAAACAAAGCAGAAAUAUUUUCAUAGGCUAUAGUCAAAUGCUUUAUUGACUUUAUUCGGGAUUGUUAUAUUUCAGAGUGAAUCGUAAUGUAUUAUAUUGAUUAUUUUCAUGUCAAUUUUAUUUUAUUAAUUACUAUUACUUUCAUUUUUUUAGCUAUAUGUACAUAAGUUGCGGAAGAAAUAUGUGGCUAAUUUGAGAUGACGACGGUAAAUGACACUCCAUAUCAGUCUCUUCAACCCACUUACGCUAUUAGAGGCUCUGCUCUGUCUUGGGUGAAUCAGGCGUCUCAUUAUAUUCAUGUUAAUUAUAUUCUAAUAUUAGAUCAUCUGUAAUUGCGACGUAAUGUUCACUAGACGUUGUAGAGAUUGAUGGAAAGGUCCUACACCUGAGACAGCAUGGACAACAUCACGUGAGAGAUCACGCGAUCAAGACCUCAGUAGCGGGCGGAAGUUGUGACUCUAUAAGAGGGCUGGAAUCCUUAGUAAAGCCCCCAGUAACUAACUAGCAAGCCACAAUGAAACUCGCGAUAGAACUGCUUCGACGUAACAGCAGCCGUCUAAGCCUUAUACCACUAUUAUAAUUUUCAUGUAUUAAAACCCUAUUUCAAGAUAAGUUCUCUAGACAGAUGUUGUCUUACUUAUCUCUCACUCACUUAGGCGCCGAAUCCCUGUUCAGGUAGCAAUAUAUAAUAUAUAAUAAGUCUGGAGGCGCAUAAACGCGCCUCCGGACACUUCCAUGAACCAGAGGAGUCCGUAUGAAAUGAGGACAGCACGAAUUCGUCUUCGUACUCAUGCUACUAAGUGACUACUGCUUAGAAGAGGAGUGCCAACGAACAGGCUAGCAGCUGUCAACAAGCAUGCCACUAUCUGUAUUCUAAUUUGCUGUGGAAUAAUUAUUUAAGAUUCACAAGCGGAGCGUUGCGUCGGGUAAAGUAUAUAAAGUUGAAGUGACUGUGAAGGAAUGAUUGUCUACAUGUUCCUUCGUCUUGCAGAAGACACGCACGACCAAUCGUCAAUAUUCUCAACAAACCUUGUGCGCAUAUUUCCAAGCGUGACGUCGCCACUUUAGGAAGAAAGAUGAAGCCAUUGGUACAGAAAAUAGUUAACGUGCUAAGUGAAAAAACAUGUGUCAAAACAUAUCACAAACUUCAUCAUCUUAUCUCAUUUCCGAACAACACAAGGGACUUAGACGACUUCUCUGAGAUGUAUUUAGAUGUGAUAUUUUUCGUACACAGUGACCUUUUAUAAAGAAGUAAAAGCCUCGGGUGAACAAUUGAUUUGAAAAUUAUUUGCUUCAGUUUAAUUUGAUCAUUCUACUUCCUUCUCAUUCCUUUGAUUAGAGUAAAUGAUUUAUUUGAUAUACGAUUCCUGAUUAUAGAAGCCAGUAGUACCCGAGGAACCAAGCUAUUCGCUCAGUUAGAUUUAUUUGAUUACUUAAAUUAUUGAUUAUCCCGUUUCAUUGUUAUUGAUAUGUCUUGGUUCAUACAUCGUCAUUUCAUGAAUCCUUUGUAUAUUUUUCUUAAGUAUUUUCGUGUAAUUUUCUUUCUAGAACCCGUACGUCAUGGAAUGUUCAUUUCUUAUCCUGCCAUGAUGGCGCGUCUUGGAAUAGCUUAGCAAACGUUCCCAAAAGACUAGCCUACAAGA